rnacentral:misc_RNA from 1 species
AAUAGUUGGAAUAUUGCUGAGUGCGGCGUUAAACAACAAACAAACAUGUACAGUUACUUUCCUUUAAAAUUUAAUUCAUGUAUUGAUGCCCUUCGAUGUCCCUACAGAAUGAGACGAGGUCAGAGGUUACAGCGUCUUUCCCAACUCAUCAUCUUCCUCUGCUUCAUCUCCUCCAUGACUGUAGUCUACGUCGCCAUGACAACAAAUUACAAGGCCCGGUGGGCCCAUGUUAUUCACAGGGACAUCCGUCAAUUACUAAAGGACCAUGAAGCUAUACAUUACAGCACGGACGGCUUGGAACCAGAAGUGAUGAACGCUCUGGAACGACGGUUUGCUGGCAGAAGGAAGAUAUAUGACUGGGCAUGCGCAAAGGCAGGGUCUUUCCUUCAUGGUGUUGCCAUGCCAACAAACGUCAAACAAGAUGGACGGAAGACCUACAUUCAACAUAAUGUCACAAUGUGUUUUGUUGAAAAGGUUGGCUCCAUGUUUUGGGGUCGCUAUUUCAAUGCAUUUGAACAAUCAACAGUCGGUAAUAUCCAGCCAAGUGUCGCAACGUGGAAACUGUCGGAGGAAGAAUAUGGCGCAACUUUGAAAAUAGCGUUUGUCAGAAACCCAUACUCAAGACUCCUAUCUGGAUACGUUGAUAAGAUCUUCUCGACCAAUCCGGACUAUAUGCGCAUCAUGGGCAGACAUAUCAUACAGGAUAUCCGGUUCAAAGGGCAGAAGCGUCCGAAUAUUCAGUGCGGGAUAGAUGCAACUUUCGCUGAAUUUGUGGAGUAUAUUUUAUAUCAAUAUGAAAGUAAACAGAGCAUUAACAAUCAUUUCAAACCCAUCCACCAUAGAUGUGCGUUUUGUCGAAUGAAGUAUGAUUACAUUGGGAAAAUGGAAACGUUUCUUGAGGAUAUGAUGUUCGUGAGUAAACGGAUCGGAGCGCUGAAACACAACCGAACCAGUGACGUCAUCCGGAAAGAGGGUUUCCAUGGCAUCGAGGAAAUGAUGUACAGAAAUUCUUACAAUAUUUUUACAAGUAGAUUAAAGGGUAUCUUAGACUGUGGGGUCUCGUUACGAGAGGCCCUAAAGCUGACUUGGAGACGAUGGAAGAUCAGAGGGUUUCUUGAAACCAAGUUUGAGUUUCCGUUCCGUGAUGACGACAGGGACCUGACCUCGGAACGGCUUCAUGCAUAUGCUGUCAUGGCGCGGGCGUCAUCAGAUCCCAAGACGUUGUCAAAGGCAAAGAAAGCGGCGCUACGAGAGGCCUACAGCACUUUGACUCUUCAAACGAAAUUGAAACUUAAAAGUAUGUUUGAGCCUCAGUUUGAAAUGUUUGGAUACGAAGCUAUGCCUGAAAGUGUGUUUGGUAGUUUUGAACAAUCAGAGUCUGAUUUUAGAUUCUUUGAUGUGAGAGGUAUUUUUGAAAAAAAAUCAUGAAUCCGGAUAUGCGGCUGCUCUGAAGGCGAGGGUUGUAUGUGUAAACAAUUGUCUGUAUGCCAGUAUUUCAAUAUGCGUAGGGUGCCAGUAUUUCAAUAUGCGUAUGUCAAUGUGCAAAGAUGUGAAUGCAUGCCAACAUGCGUAUGUCAAGGUGCAAAGCUGUGAAUGCAUGUCAAUGUGCAUAGUUGUGAAUGCAUGCCAAUAUGCGUAUGCCAAGGUGCAAAGCUGUGAAUGCAUGCCAACAUGCGUAUGUCAAGGUGCAAAGCUGUGAAUGCGUGCCAUAAUGCGUAUGUCAAUGUGCAAAGCUGUGAAUGCAUGACAACAUGCGUAUGUCAAGGUGCAAAGAUGUGAAUACAUGCACAUAUGUGUAUGUCAAUGUGCAAAGCUGUGAAUGCAUGACAAUAUGCGUAGGUCAAGGUGCAAAGAUGUGAAUGCAUGCCAAAAUGCGUAUGUCAAGGUGCAAAGCUGCGAAUGCAUGCCAAUAUGCGUAUGUCAAGGUGCAAAGCUGCGAAUGCAUGCCACGAUGCGUAUGUCAAGAUGCAAAGCUGUGAAUGCAUGCCACUAUGCGUAGGUCAAGAUGCAAAGCUGUGAAUGUAUGCCACUAUGCGUAUGUCAAGAUGCAAAGCUGUGAAUUUAUGCCACUAGGCGAAUGUCAAGAUGCAAAGCUGUGAAUGCAUGCCACUAUGCGUAUGUCAAGAUGCAAAGCUGUGAAUGUAUGCCACUAUGCGUAUGUCAAGAUUCAAAGCUGUGAAUGUAUGCCACUAUGCGUAUGUCAAGAUGCAAAGCUGCGAAUGCAUGCCACUAUGCGUAUGUCAAGAUGCAAAGCUGCGAAUGUAUGCCACUAUGCGUAUGUCAAGAUGCAAAGCUGUGAAUGCAUGCCCCUAUGCGUAUGUCAAGAUGCAAAGCUGCGAAUGCAUGCCACUAUGCGUAUGUCAAGAUGCAAAGCUGCGAAUGUAUGCCACUAUGCGUAUGUCAAGAUGCAAAGCUGUGAAUGUAUGCCACUAUGCGUAUGUCAAGAUGCAAAGCUGUGAAUGUAUGCCACUAUGCGUAUGUCAAGAUGCAAAGCUGCGAAUGCAUGCCACUAUGCGUAUGUCAAGAUGCAAAGUUGUGAAUGCAUGCCACUAUGCGUAUGUCAAGAUCCAAAGCUACGAAUGCAGGCCACUAUGCGUAUGUCAAGAUGCAAAGCUGUGAAUGUAUGCCACUAUGCGUAUGUCAAGAUGCAAAGCUGUGAAUGCAUGCCACUAUGCGUAUGUCAAGAUGCAAAGCUGUGAAUGUAUGCCACUAUGCGUAUGUCAAGAUGCAAAGCUGCGAAUGCAUGCCACUAUGCGUAUGUCAAGAUGCAAAGCUGUGAAUGCAUGCCACUAUGCGUAUGUCAAGAUGCAAAGCUACGAAUGCAUGCCACUAUGCGUAUGUCAGGGUGCAAAGCUGUGAAUGCAUGCCACUAUGCGUAUGUCAAGAUGCAAAGCUGCGAAUGUAUGCACAACUGCGUAUGUCAGGGUGCAAAGCUGUGAAUGUAUGCCACUAUGCGUAUGUCAAGGUUCAUAGUUGUGAAUGUAUGCACACAUGCCCUUGUCAAGGUGCAAAGCUGUGAAUGUAUGCCACUAUGCGUAUGUCAAGAUGCAAAGCUGCGAAUGUAUGCACAACUGCGUAUGUCAAGAUGCAAAGCUGUGAAUGCAUGCCACUAUGCGUAUGUCAAGAUGCAAAGCUGCGAAUGUAUGCACAACUGCGUAUGUCAGGGUGCAAAGCUGUGAAUGUAUGCCCCUAUGCGUAUGUCAAGGUUCAUAGUUGUGAAUGUAUGCACAUAUGCCCUUGUCAAGGUGCAAAGCUGUGAAUGUAUGCACAACUGCGUAUGUCAGGGUGCAAAGCUGUGAAUGAAUGCCAAUAUGUGUAUGUCAAGGUGCAUAGUUGUGAAUGUAUGAACAUAUGCCCUUGUCAAGGUGCAAAGCUGUGAAUGUAUGCACAUAUGCGUAUGUAAAGGUGCAUAGUUGUAAAUGCAUGCCAAUAUGCGUAUGUCAAUGUGCAUAGUUGUGAAUUCAUGCCAAUAUGCGUAUGUCAAAGUGCAAAGCUGUGAAUGCGUGCCAAUAUGCGAAAGUCAAGGUGCAAAGCUGUGAAUGCAUGACAAUAUGCGUAUGUCAAGGUGCAGAUCUGUGAAGGCCUGCCAAUAUGCGUAGGACAGGUACAUAGUCUGAUUUUUAAUUGUAUUUUUUACGUUCUGAUAUUACAUGUAUAUUAGUGUUAUUGUUUCAUAUGCAGUGUAAUUAUAGAAUAUAUGAAGAAAUAAAGAGUA